rnacentral:rRNA from 1 species
CAUGAAGCUGGAAUCGCUAGUAAUCGCGGAUCAGAAUGCCGCGGUGAAUACGUUCCCGGGUCUUGUACACACCGCCCGUCACACCAUGAGAGUUGGAAUACCCGAAGCCUGUGAGCUAACUUAUAGAGGCAGCAGUCGAAGGUAGAAUCAAUGAUUGGGGUGAAGUCGUAACAAGGUAAC